GACGGAGGAUGCAAGCGUUAUCCGGAAUGAUUGGGCGUAAAGCGUCCGCAGGUGGCAGUUCAAGUCUGCUGUCAAAGACCGGGGCUUAACUUCGGAAAGGCAGUGGAAACUGAACAGCUAGAGUAUGGUAGGGGCAGAGGGAAUUCCUGGUGUAGCGGUGAAAUGCGUAGAGAUCAGGAGGAACACCAGUGGCGAAGGCGGCUCACUGGACCGGAACUGACGCUGAGGCGCGAAAGCGUGGGGAGCAAACAGG
rnacentral:rRNA from 1 species